UACGUAGGAUGCAAGCGUUGUCCGGAAUUAUUGGGCGUAAAGAGCGCGCAGGCGGUAUGACAAGUCAGAUGUGAAAGAGGCCGGCUUAACCGGCAAGGGUCAUUUGAAACUGUCAGACUAGAGUGCAGCAGAGGAUAGUUGGAAUUCCCGGUGUAGUGGUGAAAUGCGUAGAUAUCGGGAGGAACACCAGUGGCGAAGGCGACUAUCUGGGCUGCAACUGACGCUGAGGCGCGAAGGCUAGGGUAGCAAACAGG
rnacentral:rRNA from 1 species